rnacentral:rRNA from 1 species
AACGAACGCUGGCGGCAUGCCUAACACAUGCAAGUCGAACGAGACCUUCGGGUCUAGUGGCGCACGGGUGCGUAACACGUGGGAAUCUGCCCUUUGCUUCGGAAUAACAGUUAGAAAUGACUGCUAAUACCGGAUGAUGUCGAAAGACCAAAGAUUUAUCGGCAAAGGAUGAGCCCGCGUAGGAUUAGGUAGUUGGUGGGGUAAAGGCCUACCAAGCCGACGAUCCUUAGCUGGUCUGAGAGGAUGAUCAGCCACACUGGGACUGAGACACGGCCCAGACUCCUACGGGAGGCAGCAGUGGGGAAUAUUGGACAAUGGGCGAAAGCCUGAUCCAGCGAUGCCGCGUGAGUGAUGAAGGCCUUAGGGUUGUAAAGCUCUUUUACCAGGGAUGAUAAUGACAGUACCUGGAGAAUAAGCGCCGGCUAACUCCGUG